rnacentral:rRNA from 1 species
CAGCAGCCACGGGAAUACGUAGGGUGCGAGCGUUAAUCGGAAUUACUGGGCGUAAAGCGGGCGCAGACGGUUACUUAAGCAGGAUGUGAAAUCCCCGGGCUCAACCUGGGAAUUGCGUUCUGAACUGGGUGGCUAGAGUGUGUCAGAGGGGGGUAGAAUUCCACGUGUAGCAGUGAAAUGCGUAGAGAUGUGGAGGAAUACCGAUGGCGAAGGCAGCCCCCUGGGAUAGCACUGACGUUCAUGCCCGAAAGCGUGGGUAGCAAACAGGAUUAGAUACCCCUGUAGUCCCUGUCUCUUAUAC